rnacentral:ncRNA from 1 species
UGGGUUGUUUUCGAAAAUUCUAUGAGAAUGUGGGUCAGUCGAUCCUAUGAUACUGGCUUAUGCCUUGUAUAAUUGAGAGGGAAAAGUUUCUUUUCUCUCGAAUGUCAAAAGGGAAUAGGGUUAAUAUUCCCCAACGCAGACACAGAGCUUGCGGCUCUUUGAGUGGCUGGCUCGAUAACGCAUUCGAGCUUGCUUACGUCGCUCAGAAACCGAGCUAAGGUUCUCUUCUCUAGUUAAGGAACGGACUCCCUAGAAUCGUAGGUUUAGAGUUGGACGUUGUUUUCGAAAGCAUCGCGGUUUCUGUGAUGUCUCCUGUUCUCUGCCCUUAAAAAACCAAAGAAGGCUAUUAAUCUGUGCUGCAUCAUACUGUUACCCAUGCCAGAUCUCCGAGGUGAACAACCUCU